CACGCUUUUAUUCUCCUCCACUAAUAAAACCAACAAAUGUACUUCUCCUUCAACAAACAGUAUUUCACAAUAUACACUAAAUCUUCUUACUUUUCUGACCUUCUGAGUAGAGUGAGCGGCUUUUAUUUCAGUUUGAUGCAAAGCAUCUCCAGCUCUUUACUGAGGACACCUGUAUUUAAUCUAUGGAUGGUCUCAGAAUUCUUUUAUUCUCAGCAAGAGAAGGCUGCAGUCAUGCAACUCAGAUGUGAAAGCCAGUCUAAAUCACUCACCGGGUCUCAUUUGCAUUGAAAGCCCACAUCUAUCACAUGGACUCCUGAACCAAUUCAAUCUAUGAUAUAAAACAAUGAAAACUCAGUAAAAUGUUCUGUUGACAUCCCACAUGUACAGAGGUCCUGAAGCUACUUAGUACGUCUGUGUUACUGGCUGCAGUAUAACAGACAAAUACUUAAAGGAGACUUAAAUGAGCAACAUUAGGUACCAUUAGCAGUUGAGGGAUAAUAAUGUGAAGCUCAAGAAAGGCUCAUUUAUCUAACGAGAAGUGCUUCCCGUUACAAACAUACUUAGAAGGUAAUGAUGAGCUUUCAUGCCAAAGCCCAUAAGUAUUUCCAGAGGUUUCAUAAUACAAGUUGUGUUAUUACCCAAUCAUACUACUUAAUGUGCUAGCUCAGCAGAACACACGAGUGUAUUCAGCAUACUCUAAUGUUACUGACGUUUACAGAAGUUUGUAGGUGGUAAGUCCUUUGUCAAAGAGACAGAAAUGAAGCCACAUGUGAUUGAAUCAGUUUUCAGCUGAACACAUUUUCAACUGCAACUGGUUGAGAAAGCAAGCAUUUCUUUCAGACUGUUCUAAAGAAAUCCAGUUUGAAGUCUUCUGUAUUCAAUCAAAUAAACACCAGAGUUUGUUUCUUCUUUCUCCCAUUUUUCAUGCCCUCUAUCUCCAUUUCCCCUCACUUUCGCUUUCUUGUUUAACUUUACUUCAACAAGCACAGGUCAUUAACUCAGGUAACAUGGGAAUCUGUCUCCAAAAGAGGCGGUGGUAAAAUCUGCAAUGGCAUCAAUAGAGCUUUUUUGUUGUAUUUAUUUCAGCAAAGUUCUCUUAAAACGUAUUACAAUAUAAUAUUAACAGAAGUGUCUAAAUGGUAUUUUUAAACACAAGGUACUAUUUCAAAGUAGGAAAUUUUAUUAAAAAGCACCACUUGAAACUAGUGUCAUUUUCACAGUGUACUGCCAUCUGCACAGACCACAGAACAAAGGGAAUGAUCCAAAAUAUUAAAAUAGUUGAUGCAUUCUACCCAGUUUUGACUUCAGAAAGCACGAAAGUGUACAGGUAAUAAAAUAUAUCCAGGCAAACUCCCUCAAAUUGCAAAAUGGUUGAUAUUAAGUGAUGCUGGUUUUUGUAAGGCAGAUCCUUUUUCCUCUUAUGUGAGCAGCACUACACAACCUAAAUUAUUCUUCUCCUGUAAUAGUCACAUUUUCCACAACAUUUCCCAUUGUCUGCAUAAGUAAAACAUUCACCUUUCUGUGAAGGCUGCUUUGAAAGUAAUGCUUCCUAUCCUAUUAUCUUGACCCAUGCUCUCAGAGGUGGAUGUUGGUGGUAUGGCAGUAGAGGUUGAACCUUCCCACCAACAUCCCAUUAUUUUUUGCCAUGACAGACAGCAGCAGAGGGGCAGUCUGACAGAAUGGUGUCUGACAUGGAAGUGUAGAUCAAACAAACGUGUGUCGUUGUACACCUCCAUGUGGAACAAAUUGCACCUACUGAAAUUCAUUGACUUGCUGAACAUUUACAGAGCCCUAGUAGUGGAUGUGGGCAUGGUGAUGGGGUGGGUGGUGUGUUUCAGCAGUGGUGACAGUGGGUCACCUCCACUGGUGCAGAUUUUGACAAGCGCAGCGUACAGGCUCUUGUUCAUCACUGGCAAAACAUGUGGCUAAUAGUGGUGACAGUGUUUAAAGAUACCUGUUUUGUAGCUUAGAAUUUGUUCUAUCAAACAGUGUUACUGUGCUCUUUGUAUCAGUUGUAGUUUCCAUGGAAAUAAAUAGGAGGCAUUACUUUUGGAGUGAUCUACAUAGAUGUAUUAACUUCCACGCUUUCUGUACAGACUUCACUAGCCUCUGUACUUGCACUUACUCUGCAAGACUUUGAGUGUCCCCAUUAGAAACAAGGUUUGGAGACAGUCUCCCAGGUUUUUAAGAGUAUUCAUGAACGUGGUAUCAAAAGAUGCAAAAGAAAAAAACAUUUUAAUGAAUUCUGUACUUCACAGCAUUAUAUUAUGCUACUAAAAGAAAGAAACCAUAUAAAAACUUGAAAUAAAAAGUUCCUAAGUUGUAAAUAUAAUUGAUAGGGUAUAUCUGUCAAGAAUAAAGCAUGCAAUUAAUUACAGCAAAUGGGAUAAGUGCCAUAAAAUUAGUAUUCAUCGUACAUUGUUUGAUUGCUUUUGAACUUUAUCUUAUGUAGGACUGCAGUGCACCACUUAAUGUUGCACGGAAUGAGGUAAUAUAUAUCAUUUUCAUAGAGGCAAAGGCUAUAUGCUACGCUGUUAGUUAUACUACCAUAAAUCCAAGCUGACUCCAACACACUUACUCCAAAUUCACGUUCCUGUAACUAAGUGGGCUGAACUCUUAAUUUAGGCUGUAUUUUUUUUAAAGAUAGUGAUGAAAACAGGCUCAAAUUUCUUGACUGAAGUAGGGCUAAGCUUGCUGCAAGUUGCAGUUAAUAGUUUGUAUUUAGAAGAAUUUUUGUUGCUGUUCAUCAUAUGAAUAUCACAGAUGACAAUAGCAAAACCAUGUGAAAUACAUUACCAUCAUUACCAUUACCAGACGGCCGCAAAAUACCACAUUUCUGCCCCAUGUAUCUAAAAAUCUACUCUUAACUUGAGGGCAAUUAUGGGCACUCCCCCAAGAAUCUUCAGAAAAGAUAUACUGUAUUUACAAUUUCACACUCUGAAAUCUCCCUUAGCUGUAAUAAUGCUCACUUGUAGCUCCCUGGUAGCUUCAGCAUCCUUUAAUAAUGGCACAUUUAAAUGGAAGUGCCAUCACUGUGUGCACAGUACAGGAUUUAAGCAUUAGUCUUCUCCAUAUUCAAGCAAUUCCACCGGUAUUACAAACUCACUUACGUAAAAUAUACACAUACAAAUCAUUCUGUUAGAUGUGCUAUAUGCUACAUAAAGGCAAAUGCUUAUUAUAUUCAAGUAACAUCUGCACUUUGCUGAAGAUGUAUUAGAUUACAUCCUACAUUAGAUUCUGAUUAUCUGCUACACAGGUUUAAAUCCAGAAUUACUCUUAAGCUAUCAUUUUAAUGGGGCUGACAGCCUCUAAAACAACUGCAUACAGUAAAGCAGACAAGAAAAAUAAGGGGUUAUGUCCAUGAGAAAAUUAUUUUCUUGACUUUCCGUCAAGUGAAAACAUAAGAAUCCUAUCUCAAGCCUUCUCCAACAUUGACUUCCCUGCAGUUUCACUGCAGAAAUACCCAGGUCUGCUCUCUGCAGAGCUUCUCUUGCAGCACAGACAUCCUGAUACAGCAGUGAGCUGUCUGCUUCUGAGGGAAAGAAGGCCUUUGACACUCUCCUCACAAAACCACCUCUUUGUAGAGGUGAGUUUGUUAGAGAAGAUAUGAUGCCAGGACUGAACUUACUGUGGUUGUGUUGGCCUCAACACAGCAUCCAGUGAGGUAUAUUGCAAUGGGUUGCUCAGACUUACUUAAGAGCUGAAACAAGAAAUACUAGCAUUCUGCUUGGUGCAGGAGAACAAUUUGUCCAAAGUCUGCGUAUCUCUGAGUUCAAACCUGAAGAAAGGAUGAGGGAAAGGUAACCACAAGUGAUAAUGACAUGAUUAGAAAAUUACAAGUAAAAAUGGAAGCACCAGAUGGAACUCCUGCAUUUGUGUUCACGCUUUUACAAAAAAAACCAAACCAAAACAAACAAACAAAAAACAGAACAGGUGAAGAGCACAGAAAAGUGCAUGCAUUUAGGAUACAUGUGCUCAGACAGACACCCACAGUAAAGUCAUAUCAUGCAUAGUAGUCUCACUUUCAAAUAGGUUGAUGGUAGGCAGUUUGCAGCUGUCUUAUUAAAGUUCCUCUUAUAUAUGUGACACACAUACACACCUGUUCUUUAGUAGGGCUGGUGAAGGAUAGGUGGAAGGAGUCGAGCUACAUGACAGAGCAUGCUGUUUGUUCCUAACAAAAUAAGAACAGAGUGAAGCAGUAGUGAUGCUUCAGGAGAAGAAAGGAGAGAAACACAGAUCAGAAAGAGCAGUUUGACAGAAGAGUUGGAAGAAGACAAUAAUCAGUGUCAUUGAAUACAUAAUUUCAUUUUAGAAUUAAUUGAGUGAUUUAAUUAAAAAAGAACUUCUAAAAUUAAGCACCAGUUCAGCAAAAUAAGCAUGCUUGUGAAAGGUGUCCCCUUUUGGUCAUAAAAAGAACACACAAUUGGUAAGAAACUGAAUAAAAGUCUGUUUCCUUUUAAAGCUUGACUUUCAAGACAUGUUUCUAAUACUUCCUUCCUUCCUUCUCAUCAUGCAACCAUUCACUCGCCACAACUUAAAAUGGGAACAAGUCUUCCCAAAUUACUUAAAAGCAGAUUAUUUCAAAAUUAAAUUAGAAAGAUCAUUAGUUACAACGUUCAUGAUGAGAACAGUCAUUAUGUUUUGUAAAAACAAUGUUCUAUUUUUGACUGAGGUCCAUUUUUACGAUAUUGUGCAAGUAUAAUUCAAUGUUACCGUAUUACCAUUUCUACUUUGAGGCAUGCUUAAGGCACUUAAAGAUUGAGCACAACAUUUUAUAAGAUGUAAACAAAUUUGCCUCCGAGUGCAUUUAGUCUUGUUGGCAGAAGAAAGUGAAAGCAGACUUCCAUUACUUGGCUGCGCUGCUUUCAGUUCCAGUACCAAAAGAUAUGUUUUUACUCUCACCUGCAAUUCUCUGUGGUCCAGAAAUAAUUAAUUUCAAGAUACUGCAUUGUAAAAAAUAGUUUUGAGUUGAAUCCAUAGAUCCCUUGCCUGAUUAUGUUAACAGAAGUACUAUCUUAUCUUGGAAUUCUGAAAGCUCUCUUUCUUUAAAUACUGAUCAUUUAAUUAAGAUUAUAUUUAAAUAUUCCUAAAUUUGAGAGCACUUUAGUGGGACAAUAUGUUCACAUUGACACACUGUAAGGUGUCAAAUACAGACAAAGAAUCAGAGUAGAAUCCAAAUCCAAUUUAAACCCCAGUUCUGUGCUAUUUUCACUGUACAGAAAUUAAGAUGAAAUCCAUAAAAUAGAUAUACUGGUUCCAUGUUCAUGAGUGAUCUGAUUGAUCCUUCCACGUACACAGUCAAGAGAAACUGAUAUCAGCGUUCCAUUAUGCACUUCAAAAGAUGCACGGAGGGUCACACUGGUCCAUAUGCUUCCCUCUGGCAUCUGCCCUCCAAUCUGCUGAGCAAUUAUGGUGGGUUGCAUGUGAUCCAUGGUCAACUGGUUGAGAGUCACUUUGAGCACACUGCAUGAAUGGAUUAGCUUUAAGUUAAAUGCAAGACUGGCAACUCCCUUUUCCGUAAAAAUGAAGUACUUCUGAGCAAGCUGUCCAGAAGAAACCAGCUGUAUCUGUUUCUCAUUGGCUGAGAUCUGGGUGAAAUCCAGUAAUUUGUUUCUCACAGCUCCAGUAGGCAGUCCUGUAACAGAAACUGUGGCUGAUAUGGCACUAGAAACUGCUGAAGGUAUCCAGAUAAGGCUAAACAUACUAAUCCCAGAACUAUCUCCGAAAUAACGAACAUUACAUUGUGCAGGAGAGAGUAUCUCAAAGCUAAUCAGAUCUCCAGCAGCAACUUUUGUGGCUCCAGAAGCAGAUAUUGAUGUAUCUCUGUAAUUUACCCCAGAUUUAAAUACAUUCAUUAAUUCUCUGUUGGUACCAUUCCUAUUUAUAUAAGAAAUUAAGGAGAAACCCUCCCGGACACAAGUGUGACCCAUAGAAUACAAUGCUUGGUGCAACACAAAUUUGACAACACCUGUUUCAGUGAAUUUUAUAGCUCUGCCAUCAUGAGAUAAACUUAGCAUGUAAGGGUCGGAAACAGAAACUAUUUUAAAUGUAGGUCGAUAGUUGGUUUGGUAAUGCAUUGCUGUUGACAUGUGUGCACUGAUUGCCACAGCACCCGUGUCAUGAGACAACCAGAACAGACUUAGUGGGCUAUUAAGAUCAUAAAUAUGUAAGUCUUUACUCUGAUUGCAGAAUUGGUUUGGGCUCCUCAAAAACACGGAAAGAGUUUGGCUGGGCUCCACCUCAGCAGCGCUGCUUAAACUGGUGCUCUGGAAAUAUUUUCCUUCUGGCUGUUCAAUGCGAACACCACUCAGUUCAUAGCCUUCUUCACUACCAUUUAGCUUCAAGGAAAGUUGAAAAAAAUUCCUGCAGUUGUGUUUUACUGCAAAAUUUAGGUCAGUCCACAAAAGACCAUGCUGCCUGAAUAUCAGGCUGUGAUCUUCAAUGGACAGGAUGUCACAGUGGAGCUUUUCCCUUAUCUUCAAGUUCAAGCCAGAGUAGACCUGAGAGAUGCCAGACUUCACAGAUGGUAAAAUGAUGUUUGCAGCCCAAGAUUCUGAUAGCUUGCUUUCACUGGUUGCUGAACAAACCGUGUCACUAACAGUGGAACAAGGCAUGGCCACCAUUCCAUCUUCACAUUUCAAACACGCUUGGCAUUCUUGCAUUUCCUUAUUAAAGAAAUACUCUUCUCCACACAAUCCCAGAGCUGCAUCUUUCUCAGCAAUUCCAAGGCAUCGGAAGCCACCUGCUCACAGAAAUUGGGCAAUUUUAUUGUUAAAUCUUUAAAAUACUAAAAGAACUCUACAGAUCUACAUACGUAUCAAGUAUGUUUGAUAACAUAUCUAAUUAUGAGAGAAAACAGAAGACAGCCCUGAUGAAACUGAAGACAACCAGGAAGAAAUUUUUUACUCAGAGGGCAGUAAGGCACUGUCAUAGGCUGCCCAGAGAAACUGUUGAUUCCCCAUUCCUGGUGGUGUUCAAAGCCAGGUUGGAUGGGGCCCUGGGCAGCUGGAUCUGGUGGAAGGUAUCCAUGCCAACGGCAAAGGAUUGGGACUCCAUAAUUUUCAAGUUCCCUUCCAACUCAAACCAAUCUGUGUUUCUAUGUUAGAUCACUUUGCACUACUAAAAGAUCCUAGAGCACUAGGGGGAACUCACCUUGCCCAAGCCGAAUUCAGUGGUUUAGAGUAGAAGGAGCAAGGAGACAGAAGGGGCUGAACAGGAGAAAUUCUAACCAAAAUCUGUAAUGAGUCAGAUGUGAAAUUACUCCAAAGACACUUUUUCAUAAAUAAAAGGCAUAGCACUAAGCAGUGGACAUAUUUUCAAUUAAGGUAGAGUUCCUCUACACGGAAAACGUCCACUGCUGCCCACACAUUAUGGGCAGUGCUGCUGUAGCUGUGAUUGCUAAAGCAGUGCUUUCCAGUCUGAGGGACAUAGACCUCAGGCAUUCUGUGUACUGUUUUUAAUGAUCCUGCAAGAGACAAGUAGGAAAAACAAAAUGGUAAACAUAUGGCUUAAAAUCAUUAUGCAGAGUUUGCACAUUUGAAAGGCAAAAAACCACUGCUGUGACACACGGGACAGCAAUGGUCUUGAUAGCCUAAAAUAACCAGAUGAACAAAACACCACAGAAAAUAUCUAGAGAUGCUGUGUGGAAUUACUUAAUUUGUAAGAAGGUAAUUUUGUGCUGUUGGAUGGCACAUCGUGACCUCAGUGGAUCAAAGAAUGCACACUCAAAGAGCAGGUUUUAAAAACAGCCUGUAAUUUUCUAUGUCAGUUUUCCAAGAGCACUGCCAUCUGCUGUUGCCUCCAGCUGGAGCAGCUGGUGCCCAGCACCUUUAUGCACAGAGCCCUCAGGAUCUAAAUCAACACACUUAAUUUGAGACAACCAAAAGAAUAACCACUUGCAGUUUGCACCUCACAGUUUAUGUGCCAAUGCACUAAUUUCAGCUUUUUGACCACACAUAAUUAAACCCAAUGAUCACCUUUCCUACAGCUCCUCUUAAGUAUCCUUUCCUGUGUUAUUUUAUUCACAAGUGUUUCUUAGAUGCAUAUAUUUGUUUUACUCCUCAGUUGGAAAGUUGCUGUAUCUGGGCAGAGAUCUGCUCCAAGACUGGGACCACAAGCAUUUGACAUGGACCCCAGCAAGCCAAUUUUCUCUGCUGCUAAACCCAGGACAGUGUUGGCUACACAGACUGCUGUCACAGGCAGAAAAGCAUGCUCACAUACUGAGACUGAAUAGUAUACAUGCACCUGGCACACAAGGGAAGUCAGAAUAUUCGCUAAAAUUCACUUCUGCCACAACAUUAUUCAGCUGAGACCACCAGAUGCAGUAUUCAUUUAUACAAGCUUCACAUGUACACCCUCAUACCUCUUUUUGUCUAUUCGUGUUUCAUUCAGUAGAUUCUUCACUAACACAUAGUGAUAUGUAGGACCAUACAAUGUAUGGUGUGAGAACAUUCCUUUAGAGACCAGGUAUGGCUCUCUCAGAAGAGCUCGGUGUAGAAAAGUCGUAUUUUUCCAUUUGAAAAAAGUCAGAUGAAACUUUAACACUCUAUUCCCUCGAAAAGCGUCUGGCUUUUUUUACAAGAAGCAAAAGCUAAGUAAGAUCACAUUUUUUCAACUAUGAAUAUUCUAUAGAGAAUACAGGAGGUCCCUGACAAGCUUUCCUUUUGCAAACAGAUCGUUUUUCGCCCUAGAACAAUAGCUGGCGUGACACUACUUAACCAGUUCUGCUUCUCAAAUCAAUAGCUCCCACACCACUGAAACACGCAGGAAGAGCUGCUACUGAAUACACAGAUACAACUGUUUCAUAUAGCAGAGAUGAUCUGCAGAAGUACCUAGACAUACUUGUUUAUGCUAUUUGCUUCUUUAAUACAUUUUUAUUUACAUUUAAGGUUUUUUAUAAAUAUCAGGCUUUACAAACAUGUGGUGACUACUCUUAGCAUUACGCUGUCUAGUUUUUAAUCAGUUCUAUCUGCAGCAGGUGCUCCCCCUUCAUGUACUUGAAAUAGGUGACUUCAAAGCAGCACAUGGGCUGCUUCCUACUGUGGACACAGCAGCAGCAGCAGCAUCCUAACCUCUGCCAGACCUGAAAAGGUCAAGGAGCAAACAGCAGCCAAACAUCAGAAGGCCAGCAGAGCAGCAUGCUGUGACUGCUUCCUAUUUCUCUCUACCACAUUUCUGACAAUCUCUCCCACCUUUUCCUGGCCCCUGCUCUGGAGGCUGCUGCACCUGAUUUUAUUGUGAGCAGCCCAGCUGCAUUAAUGUUGUUUUGUGAAUCCACAGAUAUGAAGUUGUCCCAGUUUUGUGCCCCCCAUGCAGCCAGGCUGAGCCUGUAUGCCUGGUAGACAUUUGCACAGAACACAGCCAGCCACAUGGAUGAACACUGACAGAAAACGUUAACAAGCACAUGCAAUACUCACACAAAUAUAUACAGCACAGAUGGCUCAGGCCUGUUCUCUCUAGCUGCAUGGCACUGAAGACCAGUGACUGGUCCUAGACUGUCUGAUCUCCUUCAGUUGUUGGCAUCUGAACAUAGAAGCUUGCCAAAGUAUGAGGGCUCAGUACAGUUGAUAGUCCACAGACCUAUUAUCCUACUCACCCAUUAAUCCAGUCUGAAUUUUGCUAUCCCUCCUUACUUUCCUCUAAACACUCAUAAUAAUUUUUGUAUAUUCCCAUACCCAUUUAAAACACUCCACAACAGAUCUCAUGCCAUCUCUGAAUCCUCUCCCCACAGCAUCCCACAGUAACUCCUAUAGAAUCUCCCCUUUAGUUUGCAUGGGGUCCUGGAAAGAGUGCUUUUGGCCAGCUCCACUUGGCAGAUUCACAUUAAGGACAAGUCUGACUGUUCUCCUGGGAUUGUGUGAGAAGAAAACCGUGCACUUUGAUAGCUCCUUGGCGACAAACCUUUACUCAAAUAACUUAACAACCCCCGUCCCAGAUAAAAACAAGGAAAGGCAGCAGGGGAAGGAGGUAUGAUACAUAGAAAAGUGGAUGGGUGAAGAAAGAGAGGCUCCUAGUUGCAUGGUUUUUUGCUGCUAUGUGUUCCCUUCCCACUGUUAAGGGAACGUGAGCUGUUACAGAUCCAACAAACUUUGCGUGCAGCUCAAGAAACUGCAUAUAACAUCUGGAACUCAUACAUCAGAUCACAUCCUCACCUACCCUACGUUACCCAAAACAAACAUCCAGUUUCAGACACCCUUUUGACAAGUUAAUUGCACUUGUAUAAGAUAAUGAGCCAUCAUGAACAGACAAGCUCAAAGUAGCAAUCUUAUCAAACAAAAAAUACGAAGAGCACACCCUUUUCAAUGACAGAUGAUGGGGAGAAUGUUGACAGAACACCAAUUCCUAGCCCAAGUGAUAGGAGACAGAUUGUCCUCACAUCUUCAUAAGGCACCAUUAAAAAUGGGAGAAGAGGGAUCAGAGGAAGAGUCUUUUCCUUUCAAACACAUUGCUGCUGACUGUGGUCUGACAAACCACCAUUACCCAACUGUUUCACAGCAGUAUUUUGUCCUCUGAAUUUUUCCUCUAGCAGUAGAAAACACCUACGCUUGGUCUGGGUCAUCCCACACAGCCCUCUGGAUAAAUUCCUUACAGCCUUCCCUCUCCCAUGUCACAAACCAGAGCAUUACCAAUGACUCCCACACUGGUGGUUCUCCCUUCCUCAAGCUGGGACCCUGUAGGCUUCCUUCCACAAAACUACCAGCUUGAUAGCACCAAUCCCAUCCUCCUACUAAAGAAGAGACCAAGCCUUGUACCAUUCUGAUGCUUUGGUUCAAAUGUUGUGCCCCAAGCUGUCCUGCUACUAAUUGCUCACUACUUAGGCUGGCUAUAAAGAAGCGUCUUGUCUUUUCUUUUGUUAAGAUGGAUGGUACCUAUGCUACAGUGCUUUCGAGGCAAGACAGCACUGGGUGCUCUCUUUGGUUAUUUCCAGUUUUCUGUGGCGUUUGUAGUAAGACCACCUAGCCAACCUAAGUUCCUGCCAAAAUGAAGCAAGGACAAUGUAUGCAAGCCCAAGUCUUCUUUUACCCAUUUCUUAGGACCAAUUCCCUCCCACUUUUUUCUACACUAGUGCAAAAUCACUCAAAGACUUGAAACACCCUUUGUCCCUCAGAAAGGUCACCCACUUUUUAUGCGUAAGUCUAGAGGAUGAAAAGCAUAUAAGCUGAUGAAGUCUUCCCUUGGUUGUUUUACUGAGUGUACUUCAGUACAAAUUGUGAUUGGUGAAGUGCUCUAUUUGAUCAGUUUCUUUCAAGCUUUUUUUUUUUUUUUUUUUUUGGCUGACCAGAAAUUAUCCUAGUACCUGGAUGCAUUUUUUGCUCAGUACAUCUGUUAAUUUUCCUCUUUGUGUCUGACUGCCAUAAGAAGUAAUGAAGGCUAAGUCUGAAGUUUACAAUUCCACUCAAAUCCAAUCCUAAAUGACUGAAAAUUCCUCCACACUCACAAAUGAUGAAAACUGUUGAUCAUUCUUCAAUAUUUGACAAUAUUAUUGCUUAAAGGAGAAUAAGAUUGAUGAAGAAAGGCUCUAUAAGUACCUUCAUUAGAUCAACUCAAAUACCUACCUCAGUGCAGCUGCAGGAAAAUGACAACUAUUUUUCUCCAUUAGGAAUAGAACCUUUGAUUUUCACCCCAUUUGCACCAGCACAAACAAGAACACGGUCAGGUUAUAAGAGAAAAUUAAAAUCAAAGCAUAUAAAAACCCAAGAAAAUAAAGUAAAAGAGACCCUUCAAAGGUCCUAGAGGAUAUUAUGUUCUAAAGUGCCUAUUGUCUGUCCACAAGAACUGCUAUCAACUGUUGAUUGUUGACUGUUUCUCAACCCCUUUGAUUCCACCAAGCUGAGCAUACUAUUACUCACAAACAUACAGGCCUGAGCCUUUAUCUAUCCUUCUGGCCUGUUCCUGAAGAUCUAAUCAUCUUCAUCCUUUAAUUACCAGGGCAUAUAACUUACCUGGAGUAUUCAGGCAUUUUAUUCUCUCGCCACAAAUGCUUGGAGAUUCAGUGCAUUCAUCUCUGUCCUGUAAAUCACAAGAAUCAUACUGAAAAACUUUAAUGCCAUAACGUCAGCUUGAAACAGGCACUUCAGGCUGUCACACCCAGGCAUAUGCAGGCAGGAAGAGGAGGGUGAUCUCACAGACGUGUUGAAGUAAGACAGCUCACUUCGGAUCUGCUUUAUCGAGGUAUCCAAACAGACUGUGUGGUUUCCAGUUUGCAGAUCAUGAGCUAAAUGGACUGGUACUAAACUAACACUUUUUACAUUACAUGAUCUGUAAGACAGUACCACAUCCCUUAGAGAGAUGCAUCACUCAGUUGGUCUUGAGAACACUGCAACAACCAAAAUAGCAUCAGGAAAGGCUCUUAAAGACAUCUAGUCUGGGAGGAAGGUGCUAACUGAAAAACAUCCAAGAAAGUGAAAUGAUAAUUAAAUUUCUCUCUCAACAGGCUCUACCCUCACCACACAGUAAGCAGAGCGGAAAGAACAAAGGCUAAAUUUGCCUUGAAACACUCACAUUAAAUAAAAUUAGACAAGCAGAGGGAAGGAGACAGCCUCUUUCAUGUUUUUCUCAGUGAUAGGGACACAGAUCACUAACUGUUCAGGCUCAUGAGAAGCUAAGAACUGAAGGCAACAUCUGGCAAAGAAGUCACUGUUUUAAGUAUCCCAACAUAAGUUAGGAUUUUUAAAUGGAAGUGACCACAAAAGCAUCUUGUUUACAUGCCAGUGUUGUGUAGUAAAAUGUAUUUAAUAAUUAUAAAUGUGAAUGUUAACCAUUCUAUAUCUUUGUAUGCUGUUUGUAAGCUAGAAUUAAAUUUUACAUUUGUUUUAACUGAUAACUUUCAUUUCCAGUUUAUAAACAAACGCAUGACCAUUAGUUUUACUUAAUAAAGCUUUCCUCUACUUUUCCAAUGUGUCCAGCAGUUCAUGUAGACUGGUCUGGCAUUAAAUAAAUGAAUUUAUCAUUCAUAAGUGUAUUUUAGGGUAUAUUUUUCUACCAGGAUGAGCAGAAUCAACGACCUGGCAGCUGCCAGACUUGGGAAAGCUUUUACAUCCAGCACACACUACCCAGUGCCCCAUUUACAGCAGCAAAUGGUGAUGAGAAAACCCAGAGAAAACUUUAGGCAAAAUAACUACCUCUAUGAAUAGUUAUUUGCAGAACGUCAUCCUCGUAUGUCCAACACAAUACUUCAUAAACAGUAACUGAAAGAUACAGAAUUAUAUUUCACCUGGCAAAUCCGAUCAGAGUUUGCAGAGCAAUCAGCCAUUUGGAAAAAACCAGCAGGACACAAUGUGCAUUUUUCACAUUGUGAAGGUGUCUUUUGGAAAUUGCAAAAUUCAUCACUUUCACAAAGACCACAGUCCAGCAAAGACUCCCCUACAUUUAUCACUUUUGCAUCCACUUCUACUUUAUGUACAGAGUAUGACUUCUGGAGAUGAUUCCUGACCUGGUUCUGAAGUCCUUGAAGAUGACUUUCAAAAUAAUUUUGAAUAUCUUCUUGCAAACUCUGAAAUGACAUUUGUUUCACUGUGUCAAAAAGCAUGCCAUACUGCACUUUGAUCAGAUCCAUUUGCUCAUACAUUUUUCUUUGCUGUUCAAGAAUCUCCCGUUGCUGGCUAACCAAUACAUGUUGCUGUUCAGCAAGUUUCUGCUGUAAAUCUACAAUGAUCUGCUGCUGGCUUUUUAGCAUUUCAGUAAAUUUCUCAUGACCUUUUGCAAGGUGAAGCUGUAGUAUUAGGGCGUCUUCAGAUGGAACUUCAUUUUCUCCUGAAAUACAAAUGACUCGUUAUUUUCCAAGAUAAAUAAUUUUCUGAUUGCUGUGUUAUCUCUUCAAAGGUAUUACAAUUCUAAUAAGUUUAAUGAAAAGGCACUUUAAAUUCAAGUCAUGAUUUAAGACCAGUCCCUUUACUAUCUCUGUAGCUCCUCCAAGAGACUGCAAGCUCUUCUCUUUCAUAAGGAACAACAUUUAUAGUUGGAGACACUGAAAAAGACAUAAUCAGCCCCUGUGUUUCAGGUCAUAAAUUAAUCAUCACUUGGGGUCAAUAACAGAUGAAUCAUAUCUAUGUAUACGUCAAAUACAGUAAGAAACAAAUGGUAAAUUUUCACUACAGAGGUGACAAAAUUUCUUGAGAACACUGAGCUAUUGAAAGUAGUAAAAAUAAGGGUCAAUUACAAUUAACUGUAAAAGGAGUCUAUGAUACUAAGUACCAGCAAUAAAACAGGAAGAAGAAACUCAAAGGAGAUAAAGGUGAAAUUAUGUACUCACUGAUAAAAGGAAAAACUCUAAGUCUUUUAUUAAAAACAAACAACCCCCUUCCCCACCCCCCCCCCCCAAAAAAAAAAAAAAAAAAAAACACCACUGUUGCAGAUGAUGUUUGCAGAUAGCUCCUUCUUCUAGAUGUCUAAAGCUCAGUUGGUGACAAUAUGAGACCUAAGAACCCUUUGCAACUGCUUUUAUUCUCUUUUUUAUUUUACAGUGUUGGACUAAAUUCAGCCACACUGUUAUACACCAGUACAAGAGGCCUUUCACUGCAUUAGUUGGUGCUAUAGGCAAUUCACAGUGUCAGAGCAAUACUGAGACAAUGAAGCUCUUGCACAAAAGAGAAGACUCUACUAAAAAUGAAUGAUGUUUGAUUAAGAGGAAGGGGAAUCUUGUUUGUCAAAAGAACUCUGAAGUCUAAAAUAGCUCAGCCAUAAAUGUAGCUGUUUCUGUCCAUUAACUGUCUAAAGAUAACCUACAGUGAAUGUCGGACUGGAAUGUCUCUAGAACACUGGUCUUAGAUCAUACAGGAUGAAUUCCGCUGCAAGACAUGUUUAGUAUACAUCAGCAAUCCCAAUUACCUACCCUUCCACACUCCCCAGCCAAGUAUCAAAUAGGUACAACCACUUGCAACACACAGAUGUUCUCAUGACCACAGAUGCAAAAUUACCUUUCAUACAAACACACACACACCAUACACAGCCAUGGUUAGGAAUGUUUUGCAGAUAUCUACUCCAUACAUCUACAGUCCAUCCACGGUACAAACAAAACACGUACUGAGAAUGUCUUGGAAAGGACACAUUAAUCUGAGAGGGUGCUGCAUGUUUCCUAAGGAACAAUCUUAGUGCAGGAAGACUGAAAGAAUGUAGUCAUCCUAUUGUGAGGAAGGGAAGGAAGACUAUGAGGUCUUUAGUGGAACCCAAGUUGGUGCCACUCCCUCCUGAUAACCAUAGCAGAUGGGCAUUGGGCUGCAGACAUUUCUCAGCGCACAGAAGAAUGCAACAGCAUGUGUCAGGUUUGGCAUGUAUGAAAUAUGGCAGCUGCAAAUUAUUUUGCCCAUAUGGGAGUGUUUGGGUACACAAAGGAGUCUGUCUGAAAGAAAAAAAAAACAAAAAAACAGAAAAAUGGCUCAGGAGGGAAAAAUGAAGAAUUUAAUGACAACUGAUCAAUGUGAAGAGAGACACAGAGGAAUAUAAAAUGACACAAUGGCAACAGGUCAUGUGCAUUCCUUCACUUGGGAUGCCAGUCCUACAUCUGGAGUAAGGUGCAGUCAAGGAGCUGCUGAGAAAGAGCAAUGAAUCUUGCAGAGGAAUGGAUUCAUCUGAUUGGAAAAAGGUGUACAUACAGGUCUGCACAUCAGCUCUCAGACCCCUCUAGCCUUGGGACUAGUCUCUUUAGAAGAGGAGAAGCAAAGGACAUUUCCUGGAUUUGCCUCACAAUGUUCACUACAUGCUGUUUGAGUAGCUGCUCUCCCCAGACAAUGGUAAAUGCAUUAGAUGCUUCAAUGUGUGAUUAUCACAUUUCAUGAUUGUAUUCCACAGGCCACGCAGAAUUUCUGUGCAGAACCACGCUUCAGCUACAAACGAGAGUUGAAAAAUGUAUUCUCUGUACUUUCUCAAGAAGCCUACUGAUCUGUGUUCAAAAGGAAGGUCUCCGAGGUCUUAGGCAUAUGCAGUGAAUAUUAGAGGUUGCAGGCAGAGUAGAAUACUGGAUGCUUGCCCGUGCACUGACUAGAAGGAAACCAAAGACUCUCAACAUGGCUCAUUUUGUUGUUUCUGAUGCCAAGCACAUGAGAUUUCUGCUAAACAUUGAUGAAUUUAGCAUGCUGUUCUUCCACUUCUUGGAAAGAAAGCUGUUUUGUGAAGGAUUGGGUUCAGUGUUUGGAAUAGGCAAAAAGCAUAUAGGCCCUUUGUCCAAUCCAGACAGAAUGCAGUGCUCAGCCCAGGUCACCACACCAAGCACCAUGGCUGCUGUGGUGGUCUUGGCUGCAGGCUGCUGCCAAUCUGUGUCACUCACAGGCUGUGAGGCAAAAGCAGUGAGAAGGAAAAAUCUUUGUGGGUGCAGUUGUGUGUGUGUGAAACAGCUUUCACGUGUGGACAAGUUCACGUGUUAUCAUCACUAGUUUGCUCACCAUGUGCUUCUGUGAUAAUGGUGCCUUCAACAGCAUUAAGUGGGUUAGUAGGCAGCAUGGUCCACUUUUUCCCUCCAACACACACAAUGAUCAUCCCUGCCUCAGGUGAGAAUGGCUGGGAUCAGUGAGGCGUGAAAAGGAGAUUGCACAAAUCCCUGACAGCCACUGCCCAUGAAGUAUCACCAUUCUCAAUAGGUUGAAAAACUUUAAAGGAAACUUCUAACCACACUCCUGUUCUCCCAAGACUUCACCUGGUACCAUGACUACAAAGAGCAUAAACUGAAAGAGUUCACUGCAUGUGUCAAGUCCCAAAAAUCCCCAGCAUCCUCACUGUUCCAACCCUUUCCUUUACUCUCCCGUAUUAUACCUUCCUCUGUCCCGUGUCAGGAAGGAGUACCUAACCCCAACUCUAUGGCCUAGGAGAUCAUGGGUGCGCAGAUCUCACGAUGGCAGCUGCAAGUGCUAUGACUGAUCUAGAUUCUCUAAGGACAAUCCUGGAAUAAGAGGAUGCUUGGAGAAAAAGGUCACGCUGUGUCUGAUACUCUCAGUGAAGAUGUAACAUGUGCCUUCAGUACCAUUCAAGAAGUGUCACUCUUCUGUCCAUGCAGUCCUUAUUAUUUGCCAGGAUUUGCAUUACUUGAAAAUAUGGAUCUUGGUAAGCACAAAGAAAUUGCAAAUAUCCUAGGUCCGUUUGCAAAAGGGAGGUAUGGCAAUUACGAUAAAGGUACAAAGAAAACGCACAGAAGCAGAAUAAAUGGAGAUGUCUCUGCUUUCUGCCCACCCGUGGUCAUGGGUAACACAGAGGUUCUGCAGGACAUCUGGAAGCAAAGACAAAGACACACAUUGUCACAGUAACAUGAAGGUGGAGGGGGGGGGGGGGGGUGUUAAUUCUCACCAAAUGGCAUCACCAAAUUCUGGAGGCUGUUUUGGAAGAGGUGUCACUCCACUCAGUAGGUGCCCGAAUUGAGGCUAUGUGCUCUCUUGCCUGCAGGAGCCACAAUGCUCAGCUUGGCCACAAGGAUGUGACAAAGUUCAAACAUUCACCAUGCUUUCCAUUAGCUUUGACCAUCACUGGGGGUGAAAUAAAUCAUUCUUCCUCAUAAAGUUUAUAUCUCUCAGACAAGGCAAUAGGCAAAAACAAGAAAUGCUCUGUGUUCAUUAAAGCUCUGCUGAUGCUUUUAACAUUGGUAAAUCCACCCAUCCUGGGCAAUCACAUUGCAUCUUUCACUGACCCAUGAGUAUAACCCUGGACAUGUCUGACUUUCUACGGGGAUGCUAAGCUGACAGAGGCAGUACAAUGCUCUUUAUUCUGUGCAGUAAGAGGAGCUCUGCAAUUUGUUGCUGUUUUCUGCUGGCUAUCACAGCACAACAACAUGUAAGCAGCAGCAAGUUUCUCACCAAUGGCACCGGCUCAUUCACUCUGGGUGCACAACAUACACACAACUGUGAAGCUCGGGACAAUGUUGCUACAAACCAAAAAAAUCCAGACACAACAAUUGUGAAGACAAUCAGAGAACUUACACUCGCUUUAAAACAGCACCGUGAAGGUCCCUAAUUUACCAUACUUCACCUGUUGCAGACUACUUGAAGGAGGGUACCCACAGAGGUGCGCAGAGGUGAUACGACGGGGCAGCGCCCCGCACCCAGCGCCACGGCUCUGCCUCCAAACCGCGCUGCGCGUCACGGCCCGGAGGGACGGAAACGGGGCGGCCCCAGCGCCUCCCUCCCGGCCCGGCCCCCCGCCGCCCCGCACCUGGCUUCACGUCGCAGCCUGGCUGCUUCCCUUUACACAGAAAAAGUGUACCAGAUAUAUCACUUAUGACUGGACGGCCAAGUGGUUUGCAGCAGCAAAAGCUCCAGAUGCACAGAGGGAUGAUAUCCCCAAGCUGACUUCUGUGAGGCUUGGUGGUCCGCCAGGUUGCAGGGCUCCUGCCUGGCCCAUGGAAACCUGAAAGCCUCACCGGACAAGAUCUACAUGGAACUCCUGGUAGUCUCAAGACUCUCUGCCUGGACCUUCAGCUAAUGUAGGCUCUCUGGUCAACUACUUAGGUUGACCAAGUUUUCCUGUGGUGUCCAGUACCUCUACCAUGAAGGGUGAUGGAAUAAACAGAGAUAAACCUUCAGGAGCUGUCCCUCCAGGACGUACUCAGCAGGAGAGUGUCCUGAGAAGAGAGUAGAGAAGAAACAGAUGUUUAAAGCAGUCAUCUAUCUGGAGUGACCGAGGUACAACUGUCCUUUCCUGAGAUGGAAAUACGAGCUAACUGACCUCACAAGCCCCCCCUUUGACCUGCUUUUUUAUGAUUUUUCCAGUUGCACCAGGCAGCUGACUGAGCCCUCAGGUACAUUAUGUAGGUAUCUCAGGGAUGUGCUGGAGAACAGCUUCCAGUUCACGGUGAAAUUUCAGAGUGAUCUUUUUUGCUUUUGGUUAUAAAGGGAACAGAAUUUAACUGUUAACGUUCUUCUCUAGCAGGAUCCUGUAAUUUAGGUGGUUCUACAACUACUCCUGACCUUGCUUCAUCUUUUAUAUCAAAGGGAAUAUAUACGAGCAGAAUUCUCUCAUCCAGAGCAGUCUAACAGUGGUUAGCUGUGCAUGCAAACUUUCUCAUAUAAAAAGCCAGGCGAAGUACAACUCAUAAAAUUCAAUGUAAAAAUGAUUAUAACAAAGGUUCAAAGAUUAGUGGUUUCUGUUUGGAUAUAGAUCCACUAGAGACAAUGGUGUAACUGCAGAGCACAUAUAUGUACCUGACGUACCUUUAGGGCAAAUGGCAUAAUUACAUCAGCACAGACUUCAUUACAGGGCAGGUGUUUAAUGAACUUCUAAGGAGGGCUUUCCAGAUUAUGCAGAACUCUGUUUUACUGUGGGUAGACUUUGCAUGUCCACAAGAGAUCUCGAUACUGGAUCUCCUGGGUACCAGGUUCAGCCUAGCUGUGGUAGCAUGAGCCUCUGGAUCACCUAACUUUUCUUCUGAAAAAGCACCAUGUAUUUUCUCAGGUACUUUGAUAGAUUUUUCAGCCAAUUUGGAAGCCAGCUGUACCAUGGCUGCGGUAUUCUGGGGACCUGCACCACUGAAUAUAAAACAGUAACUGCCUGCUGUUGGUUUCCACACCUGCACAAGCUCUGUGUGAGCAGCAGAGACAGUCCAUCAUUUGUUUGCAAGAUGGUUUGAUGCAGUGCCUUUUUUUUAACUCUUCACAGCAUUCUUUGGGUUGGCAGUGUUCACUAACACAACUCAGGAGUGGCUCAAGUGAGGAGGCCCCUACAUCUACUCCGUGUGUAGCUUGGAGGCAUGACCUCAGACUUUGUGAUGAUUCAAAUUCAUACACAGGACCAGUUGCUGGUCUACUACCCCAUGUCAGCCAGGCGCAGGUACCCUUGUGGAGAUGUCCGUCCAGAAAAAAAGCUUAUGUAUUAGGUUCCUCUGAAAAUGACCUCCACUGCAAACACCAAAACUGAACACAGUAAGAUGGGGAUAAUUGCUUGCAAACUGCCUUGCUGCUCUGAACCAGCGCACGAACCCCGAAGAAACCUAACGUCAGGUUUCAUCGUGUCGCCUUCAGGCAGGCGCGAAAGCCCCAGUGCGUUCCGUGCAGCCGGAGGUGGGCUUGUCUCAGCUUGAACUCCAUCUCCUCUGGCCAAAGAGACCCUCGGGGACUCGGCAUCGCCGCGGGGCUGCCGGAGCCCGCCGGAGGGCGAGGGGCCCGAGGGCGCCAGCAG
ensembl:lncRNA